GUCUAUGGCCAUGCCAUCUUGAACGUGCCCGAUCUUGUCUGAUCUCAGAAGCUAAGCAGGGCUGGGCCUGAUUAGUACUUGGAUAGGAGACCACUUAGGAAUACCAGGUGCUGUAGGUG
rnacentral:rRNA from 1 species